AGAGUCUGAUCCUGGCUCAGGAUGAACGCUGGCGGCUGCUUAACACAUGCAAGUGACGGGAAGGGUGUUUCCAGUGGCGGACGGUGAGUAACGUAAGAACCUGCCCUUGGGAGGGGAACAACAGCUGGAAACGGCUGCUAAUACCCCCGUAGGCUGAGGAGCAAAGGAGGAAUCCGAAUUGAGGAGGGGCUCGCGUCUGAUUAGCUAGCUGGAGGCAAUAGCUUACCAAGGCGAUGAUCAGUAGCUCCGAGAGAGGAUGAUCAGCCACACUGGGACUCGAGACACGGCCCAGACUACGGGAGGCAGCAGUGGGGAAUUUUUCCGCAAUGGGCGAAAGCUCGACGGAGCAAUGCCGCGUGGAGGUAGAAGGCCUACGGGUCCUGGAACUUCUUUUCCCAGAGAAGAAGCAAUGACGGUAUCUGGGGAAUAAGCAUCAUUAACUCUGUGCCAGCAGCCGCGGUGUAAUACAGAGGAUGCGUUAUCCGGAAUGAUUGGCGUAGCGUCUGGUAGGUGGUUUUUAAGUCCGCUGUCAACUCCAGGGUCAACGGAUAGGCGGUGAACUUUUCGCUUAUACGGUAGGGCAGGGGAAUUCCUGCGGAGCGGAAAAUGCGGUAGAGGAUCGGAAAACAACAGAAAGUAAUUCACAAUAUUACCCGACAAUUGAGAGACGAAAGCCAGGGAGCGAAUGGAUUGAUACCCAUAGUCCUUUUGCCGUAAACGAUGGAUACUAGGCGCUGCGUAUAGACCUGCAGUGAAGCUAACGCGUGUAUAUCCUGCCUGGGAUACCGUGCAAAGAAUGAAACUGAAGGAAUUGAUGCAAAUUCGCAUGGAGCAUGUGGUUUAACGAUGAAAGCUGAAGAACUUUUACGAAGCCGCGACGACGCUGCGAAUCCUCGGAAAGAGAGAGGGUCAAACGCGCAGAUAGGUACGGCAAUAUUGCCGUCAGCUCAAAGCCGUAAGGUGUUGGGUUAAGUCCCGCAACGAGCGCAACCUCGUACGAAGCUGCCACCGUUGUUCGGGAACCCUGAAAUCAGACUGGCGGUGAUAAGCCGAGAAGUGAGGAUGACGCUUCAUCAUGCCCCUGCGCCCUGGGCGAUACACGCUACAAUGGUUGGACAGGGUCGCGAUCCCGCGAGGGUGAUUAACCGAAAACCCGUCCUGUUGUCUGGAUUGGUAGGCUGCAACUCGCCUGCAUGAAGCCGAAUCGCAGUAAUCGCCAGGUCAGCCAUAACGGCGUGGUGAAUCUGUUCCUGGUUUUAAAGACACCGCCCAUUGCAUCAUGGGAGCUGAAGCGUUCAGUCGUUACCUUAACCGCAGAGGGGGUGCCGAAGGUGGGCUAGUGACUGGAGUGAAGUCGUAACAAGGUAGCCGUACUGGAAGGCGCGUAUU
rnacentral:rRNA from 1 species